UAACAGCUCACUAGUCGAGUAUCUCUGCGCCGAAAAUUAACCGGGGCUAAGCGUAGUACCGAAUCUUUGAAUCUAUAUGAAGAAUAUAGGAGGUAGGGGAGCGUUCCAUAGAGCAUAGAAGCCAUACCGAGAGGAGUGGUGGAGCGUAUGGAAGUGAGAAUGCCGGUGUGAGUAGCGAGAAAUCGGUGAGAAUCCGAUUCAGCGUAAGUCCAAGGUUUCCAGGGGAAGGUUCGUCCGCCCUGGGUAAGCCGGGAACUAAGGCGAGGCCGAAAGGCGUAGUCGAUGACCAGCAGGUUGAAAAUCCUGCGCACGGCUGAUGAGUGAAGGAGUGACAGAGAAGGAAAGCAUGAGCCCUGAACGGAUUGGGCAUUUCAUGGGGAUAGCAGGCUGAUAGGGAAAGCCGUCAGCGAAAUGUAAGCCAUGAGACGAGCGAACGGGCGACCAAGUAGCGAAGAGUGUGAAUCCAGCUCUCAAGAAAAGCUUCUAGCGAUAAUGAUCAGUUGUCCCGUACCAAAACCGACACAGGUGGACGAGGCGAAUAGCCUAAGCUGAGCGAGAGAACUGUUGCCAAGGAACUCGGCAAAUUGACCCCGUACGUUCGCAAGAAGGGGUACUCGAAAGAGUCGCAGUAAAAAGGCCCAAGCAACUGUUUAACUAAAACACAGCUCUCUGCCAAGUCGCAAGACGAAGUAUAGGGGGUGACACCUGCCCGGUGCUGGAAGGUCAAGGGGAUUUGUCAGACGCAAGUCAAAGCAUUGAACCGAAGCCCCAGUGAACGGCGGCCGUAACUAUAACGGUCCUAAGGUAGCGAAAUUCCUUGUCAGGUAAGUUCUGACCCGCACGAAAGGUGUAAUGAUUUGGGCACUGUCUCGGCAGCAGACUCGGUGAAAUCUUAGUACCUGUGAAGAUGCAGGUUACCCGCAACUAGACGGAAAGACCCCAUGGAGCUUUACUGUAGUCUGCUAUUGAGUUUCGGUUAAGUAUGCACAGGAUAGGUGGGAGACGAUGAGACUGGUCUUUCGGGAUCAGAGGAGUCACUGUUGGGAUACCACUCUUACUUAAUUGAAAUUCUAACUCUAAGCCGUGAUCCGGCUAGAGGACCGUGGCAGAUGGGCAGUUUGACUGGGGCGGUCGCCUCCCAAAGAGUAACGGAGGCGCUCAAAGGUACUCUCAGAAUGGUUGGAAAUCAUUCGGCGAGCGUAAAUGCAGAAGAGUGCUUGACUGCGAGACGAACAGGUCGAGCAGGGACGAAAGUCGGAAUUAGUGAUCCGGCGGUGCAGAAUGGAAUGGCCGUCGCUUAACGGACAAAAGCUACCCUGGGGAUAACAGGCUGAUCUCCCCCAAGAGUUCACAUCGACGGG
rnacentral:rRNA from 1 species